rnacentral:rRNA from 1 species
UUGACGGGGAGCACUACGAACGGGUGGAGCCUGCGGUUUAAUUGGAUCAACGCCGGAAAUCUCACCGGGGCGACAGCAAUAUGAAGGUCAGGCUGAAGACCUUACCCGAUUAGCUGAGAGGUGGUGCAUGGCCGUCGUCAGUUCGUACUGUGAAGCAUCCUGUUAAGUCAGGCAACGAGCGAGACCCACGUCCACAGUUGCCAGCAUACCCUCCGGGGUGAUGGGUACACUGUGGAGACCGCCGCUGCUAAAGCGGAGGAAGGAGUGGGCAACGGUAGGUCAGUAUGCCCCGAAUCUCCCGGGCUACACGCGGGCUACAAUGGUUGGUACAAUGGGCAUCUACCCCGAAAGGGGAAGGAAAUCUCUUAAAGCCAAUCGUAGUUCGGAUUGAGGGCUGCAACUCGCCCUCAUGAAGCUGGAAUCCGUAGUAAUCGCGUUUCAACAGAACGCGGUGAAUACGUCCCUGCUCCUU